GGGCCAAUGAAUACAUGAUUUCCCAAACCUUUUCUUUUCUUCACUUCUGUCAUCUGUGUGUAUAGUUCUCAUCGUUGUCGUCGUCGUUGACGCUGCUGUCAGCCAUGUCGGCCUCCUCUGCCUCUUCUCGCAAGACAUUAAGCAAGAUAGCAUGCAAUCGACUCCAGAAAGAGUUGGCGGAGUGGCAAGUCAAUCCCCCUGCUGGUUUCAAACAUAAAGUUACUGAUAAUCUUCAAAGGUGGGUGAUUGAAGUGAUUGGGGCUCCUGGAACUCUCUAUGCGGAUGAAACCUAUAAUCUUCAAGUUGAUUUUCCAGAACAUUAUCCCAUGGAAGCUCCGCAGGUGAUUUUUGUGCCACCCGCUCCGUUACACCCUCAUAUCUAUAGCAACGGGCACAUUUGCUUAGAUA
rnacentral:misc_RNA from 1 species